GAUGAACGCUGGCGGCGUGCCUAAUACAUGCAAGUCGAGCGAACAGACGAGGAGCUUGCUCCUCUGACGUUAGCGGCGGACGGGUGAGUAACACGUGGAUAACCUACCUAUAAGACUGGGAUAACUUCGGGAAACCGGAGCUAAUACCGGAUAAUAUAUUGAACCGCAUGGUUCAAUAGUGAAAGACGGUUUUGCUGUCACUUAUAGAUGGAUCCGCGCCGCAUUAGCUAGUUGGUAAGGUAACGGCUUACCAAGGCAACGAUGCGUAGCCGACCUGAGAGGGUGAUCGGCCACACUGGAACUGAGACACGGUCCAGACUCCUACGGGAGGCAGCAGUAGGGAAUCUUCCGCAAAGGGCGAAAGCCUGACGGAGCAACGCCGCGUGAGUGAUGAAGGUCUUCGGAUCGUAAAACUCUGUCAUUAGGGAAGAACAAAUGUGUAAGUAACUAUGCACGUCUUGACGGUACCUAAUCAGAAAGCCACGGCUAACUACGUG
rnacentral:rRNA from 1 species